UAGUCGAUGGACCAAUGUAGGUAAGGGAAGUCGGCCAAACGGAUUCCGUAACCUUGGGAUAAGGAUUGGCUCUGAGGACUGAGCCGGUCGGGCUGGGGACCUGAAGCAGGAACGGCACUUCACCGGGACUGGGCGGGGGCUCGCCGUUCACGCGGCGCGGCCAAGCCCGGACCAGCGUCGGGACCUUCCUGUGGAAAGCCUCAGCUGCGCGGCGUCUGAGGGCUUCGUGCCCAAAGUGCUAUGCUUCGGCCGGCAAAAAACAGUCAACUCAGAACUGGCACGGACCGGGGGAAUCCGACUGUGUAAUUAAAACAAAGCAUUGCGAUGGCCGCUGGUCGGUGUUGACGCAAUGUGAUUUCUGCCCAGUGCUCUGAAUGUCAACGUGAAGAGAUUCAUCAAAGCGCGGGUAAACGGCGGGAGUAACUAUGACUCUCUUGAUUCCCUGACCUCGUGGCGACAAGGGGCGAUCAGGCCGUCAUCUUAGAUGCCCAGGUCGUCGGUUUGCGCAUAUCGCUCGCCGAGGCCCAUAAAAACAAAGUCGUUAAAUACUCCGUGCCCGAGAUUCUGGACCACGUGCGGGGGACCCGUAAAGCGGCUCCUCUGGUGUCCAGCGUCACGCUCUCGUAUAGGGGCGUUUGGGCAAAGGAGAGCGCUGACGUUCUGUGCGACAUGGGACUCGGCCGCCAGGACAUUAAGCUCAUUACGAUCAAGUGCCUGCAGGGGGGGUGUCGUGUUUCUGGCGCCAUCAACGUAUGACCUCCGUGGUUUCACGGGCGAUGACGCGGUGUGAUGAUUGACCAUCCCACGCUGUACUCUCCUCACCCCAUCUGGGUGGGUGUUAUUUGGGUCCCUCUGCCUGCCUGCGAACAGAGGACAAUAAUCAAAAAAAAAAAAAAUAGCCAAAUGCCUCGUCAUCUAAUUAGUGACGCGCAUGAAUG
rnacentral:ncRNA from 1 species